rnacentral:piRNA from 1 species
UGCAAAGAAGAUGAAAACGUU